rnacentral:rRNA from 3 species
GGACUACACGGGUAUCUAAUCCCGUUCGCUCCCCUGGCUUUCGCGCCUCAGCGUCAGGUGAGGCCCAGCACGUCGCUUUCGCCACCGGCGUUCCUUCCGAUAUCAACGCAUUUCACCGCUCCACCGGAAGUUCCACGUGCCCCUACCCCCCUCCAGACCGUCGGUAUCCCAGGCAGUUCCACCGUUAAGCGGUGGAUUUUCACCCCGGACCAGACGGCCCGCCUACGCGCCCUUUAAGCCCAGUGAUUCCGAACAACGUUCGCACGGUUCGUCUUACCGCGGCUGCUGGCAC